GUUGUAUGGUUAAGUGACUAAGCGUACACGGUGGAUGCCUUGGCAGUCAGAGGCGAUGAAAGACGUAGUAACUUGCGAUAAGCCCAGAUUAGGUAGUAACAACCAUUUGAGUCUGGGAUUUCUGAAUGGGGAAACCCACGUGCAUAAGCACGUAUCCUUACCUGAAUACAUAGGGUAAGGAGGCGAACCGGGGGAACUGAAACAUCUAAGUACCCNCGAGGAAAAGAAAUCAACCGAGAUUCCGAAAGUAGCGGCGAGCGAAAUUGGACUAGCCCUUAAGCUUUACACGCGUUAGACGAACGGUCUGGAAAGUCCGACGAUACAGGGUGAUAGUCCCGUAGUUGACGACGUGUGUUCAGUGAAAUCGAGUAGGGCGGGACACGUGAUAUCCUGUCUGAAUAUGGGGGGACCAUCCUCCAAGGCUAAAUACUACUGACUGACCGAUAGUGAACCAGUACCGUGAGGGAAAGGCGAAAAGAACCCCUGUGAGGGGAGUGAAAUAGAACCUGAAACCGUGUACGUACAAGCAGUAGGAGCAGGCUUUGUCCUGUGACUGCGUACCUUUUGUAUAAUGGGUCAGCGACUUAUAUUCAGUGGCAAGGUUAACCAUCUAGGGGAGCCGUAGGGAAACCGAGUCUUAACUGGGCGUUCAGUCUCUGGAUAUAGACCCGAAACCAGGUGAUCUAGCCAUGGGCAGGUUGAAGGUUGAGUAACAUCAACUGGAGGACCGAACCGACUAAUGUUGAAAAAUUAGCGGAUGACUUGUGGCUAGGGGUGAAAGGCCAAUCAAACCUGGAGAUAGCUGGUUCUCCCCGAAAGCUAUUUAGGUAGCGCCUCGGACGAAUACUACUGGGGGUAGAGCACUGUUAAGGCUAGGGGGUCAUCCCGACUUACCAACCCUUUGCAAACUCCGAAUACCAGUAAGUACUAUCCGGGAGACACACGGCGGGUGCUAACGUCCGUCGUGGAGAGGGAAACAACCCAGACCGCCAGCUAAGGUCCCAAAUUACUACUAAGUGGGAAACGAUGUGGGAAGGCUCAGACAGCCAGGAUGUUGGCUUAGAAGCAGCCAUCAUUUAAAGAAAGCGUAAUAGCUCACUGGUCGAGUCGGCCUGCGCGGAAGAUGUAACGGGGCUAAGUAGUAAACCGAAGCUGCGGCAAUGUGCUUUUGCACAUUGGGUAGGGGAGCGUUCUGUAAGCGGUUGAAGGUGUGUGGUAACGCAUGCUGGACGUAUCAGAAGUGCGAAUGCUGACAUGAGUAACGAUAAAGGGGGUGAAAAACCUCCUCGCCGGAAGACCAAGGGUUCCUGUCCAACGUUAAUCGGGGCAGGGUAAGUCGACCCCUAAGGCGAGGCCGAAAGGCGUAGUCGAUGGGAAACGGGUUAAUAUUCCCGUACUUCUUACAAUUGCGAUGGGGGGACGGAGAAGGCUAGGUGGGCCUGGCGACGGUUGUCCAGGUUCAAGUGCGUAGGCUUAAGAGUUAGGUAAAUCCGGCUCUUUUUAAGGCUGAGACACGACGUCGAGCACCUACGGGUGUGAAGUCAUUGAUGCCAUGCUUCCAGGAAAAGCCUCUAAGCUUCAGAUUGUAAGGAAUCGUACCCCAAACCGACACAGGUGGUCGGGUAGAGAAUACCAAGGCGCUUGAGAGAACUCGGGUGAAGGAACUAGGCAAAAUGGUACCGUAACUUCGGGAGAAGGUACGCUCUUGAUGGUGAAGUCCCUUGCGGAUGGAGCUGACGAGAGUCGCAGAUACCAGGUGGCUGCAACUGUUUAUUAAAAACACAGCACUGUGCAAAAUCGUAAGAUGACGUAUACGGUGUGACGCCUGCCCGGUGCCGGAAGGUUAAUUGAUGGGGUUAGACUUCGGUCGAAGCUCUUGAUCGAAGCCCCGGUAAACGGCGGCCGUAACUAUAACGGUCCUAAGGUAGCGAAAUUCCUUGUCGGGUAAGUUCCGACCUGCACGAAUGGCGUAAUGAUGGCCACGCUGUCUCCACCCGAGACUCAGUGAAAUUGAAAUCGCUGUGAAGAUGCAGUGUACCCGCGGCUAGACGGAAAGACCCCGUGAACCUUUACUACAGCUUGGCACUGAACAUUGACCCUACAUGUGUAGGAUAGGUGGGAGGCUUUGAAGCACGUACGCCAGUAUGUGUGGAGCCGUCCUUGAAAUACCACCCUUGUAGUGUUGAUGUUCUAACGUCGACCCCUAAUCGGGGUUGCGGACAGUGCCUGGUGGGUAGUUUGACUGGGGCGGUCUCCUCCCAAAGAGUAACGGAGGAGCACGAAGGUGGGCUAAUCACGGUUGGACAUCGUGAGGUUAGUGCAAUGGCAUAAGNCCGCUUGACUGCGAGAAUGACAAUUCGAGCAGGUGCGAAAGCAGGUCAUAGUGAUCCGGUGGUUCUGAAUGGAAGGGCCAUCGCUCAACGGAUAAAAGGUACUCCGGGGAUAACAGGCUGAUACCGCCCAAGAGUUCAUAUCGACGGCGGUGUUUGGCACCUCGAUGUCGGCUCAUCACAUCCUGGGGCUGAAGUCGGUCCCAAGGGUAUGGCUGUUCGCCAUUUAAAGUGGUACGCGAGCUGGGUUUAGAACGUCGUGAGACAGUUCGGUCCCUAUCUGCCGUGGGCGUUGGAAGAUUGAAGGGGGCUGCUCCUAGUACGAGAGGACCGGAGUGGACGAACCUCUGGUGUUCGGGUUGUGUCGCCAGACGCAUUGCCCGGUAGCUAAGUUCGGAAUCGAUAACCGCUGAAAGCAUCUAAGCGGGAAGCGAGCCCUGAGAUGAGUCUUCCCUGAUACUUUAAGUAUCCUAAAGGGUUGUCGGAGACUACGACGUUGAUAGGUCAGGUGUGUAAGUGCUGUGAGGCAUUGAGCUAACUGAUACUAAUUGCCCGUGAGGCUUAACCAUACAACACCCAAGGGGUUU
rnacentral:rRNA from 1 species